AGAGUUUGAUCCUGGCUCAGGAUGAACGCUAGCGACAGGCUUAACACAUGCAAGUCGAGGGGCAGCGGUGGUGAAGGCUUGCCUUUACCAGCCGGCGACCGGCGCACGGGUGAGUAACACGUAUGCAACCUGCCUGCCACGGCCGGAUAAUCGGGAGAAAUCCCGUCUAAUACGGCAUAAUGCAUCGACGGGACAUCCUGUUGGUGCCAAAGGUUGAUUCCGGUGGCGGAUGGGCAUGCGUCGCAUUAGUUAGUUGGCUGUGUAACGGACCACCAAGACGACGAUGCGUAGGGGUUCUGAGAGGAAGGUCCCCCACACUGGUACUGAGACACGGACCAGACUCCUACGGGAGGCAGCAGUGAGGAAUAUUGGUCAAUGGGCGGGAGCCUGAACCAGCCAAGUCGCGUGAGGGAUGACGGCCCUAUGGGUUGUAAACCUCUUUUGCCGGGGAGCAAAGUGCCGCACGUGUGCGGUUUGGAGAGUACCCGGAGAAAAAGCAUCGGCUAACUCCGUGCCAGCAGCCGCGGUAAUACGGAGGAUGCGAGCGUUAUCCGGAUUUAUUGGGUUUAAAGGGUGCGCAGGCGGCGAGUUAAGUCAGCGGUAAAAUUUCGGGGCCCAACCCCGGCCCGCCGUUGAAACUGGCAGUCUCGAGUUGGAGAGAAGUAUGCGGAAUGCGCGGUGUAGCGGUGAAAUGCAUAGAUAUCGCGCAGAACUCCGAUUGCGAAGGCAGCAUGCCGGCUCCACACUGACGCUGAGGCACGAAAGCGUGGGUAUCGAACAGGAUUAGAUACCCUGGUAGUCCACGCAGUAAACGAUGAAUGCUGGCUGUCCGGGGGGAUUGACCCCUGGGUGGCGAAGCGAAAGCGAUAAGCAUUCCACCUGGGGAGUACGCCGGCAACGGUGAAACUCAAAGGAAUUGACGGGGGCCCGCACAAGCGGAGGAACAUGUGGUUUAAUUCGAUGAUACGCGAGGAACCUUACCCGGGCUCAAACGGGGAGUGACUCAGGCAGAGACGCCUGUUUCCCACGGGACACUCCCCGAGGUACUGCAUGGUUGUCGUCAGCUCGUGCCGUGAGGUGUCGGCUUAAGUGCCAUAACGAGCGCAACCCCCGCGUGCAGUUGCUAACAGAUAACGCUGAGGACUCUGCACGAACUGCCGGCGCAAGCCGCGAGGAAGGCGGGGAUGACGUCAAAUCAGCACGGCCCUUACGUCCGGGGCGACACACGUGUUACAAUGGGUGGUACAGCGGGAAGCCAGGCGGCGACGCCGAGCGGAACCCGAAAUCCACUCUCAGUUCGGAUCGGAGUCUGCAACCCGACUCCGUGAAGCUGGAUUCGCUAGUAAUCGCGCAUCAGCCAUGGCGCGGUGAAUACGUUCCCGGGCCUUGCACACACCGCCCGUCA
rnacentral:rRNA from 1 species